rnacentral:rRNA from 1 species
GUCCCAGCUGUAAACGAUGCAGACUCGGUGAUGCACUGGCUUGUGGCCAGUGCAGUGCCGCAGGGAAGCCGUUAAGUUUGCCGCCUGGGAAGUACGUACGCAAGUAUGAAACUUAAAGGAAUUGGCGGGGGAGCACCACAAGGGGUGAAGCCUGCGGUUCAAUUGGAGUCAACGCCAGAAAUCUUACCCGAAGAGACAGCAGAAUGAAGGUCAAGCCGGAGACUUUACCAGACAAGCUGAGAAGUGGUGCAUGGCCGUCGU